rnacentral:rRNA from 1 species
GACGAACCGUACGAACGUUAUUCGGAAUUACUGGGCGUAAAGCGUGCGUAGACGGUAGCGUAAGUCAGAUGUGAAAGCCCCGGGCUCAACCUGGGAAUUGCAUUUGAGACUGCUCUGCUCGGGUGCGGAAGAGGGAAGCGGAAUUUCCGGUGUAGCGGUGAAAUGCGUAGAUAUCGGAAGGAACACCAGUGGCGAAAGCGGCUUCCUGGUCCGACACCGACGUUCAGGCACGAAAGCGUGGGGAGCAAACAGG